rnacentral:rRNA from 1 species
GAUGAACGCUGGCGGCGUGCCUAAUACAUGCCAGUCGAGCGAACGGACGAGAAGCUUGCUUCUCUGAUGUUAGCGGCGGACGGGUGAGUAACACGUGGAUAACCUACCUAUAAGACUGGGAUAACUUCGGGAAACCGGAGCUAAUACCGGAUAAUAUUUUGAACCGCAUGGUUCAAAAGUUAAAGACGGUCUUGCUGUCUCUUAUAGAUGGAUCCGCGCUGCAUUAGCUAGUUGGUAAGGUAACGGCUUACCAAGGCAACGAUGCAUAGCCGACCUGAGAGGGUGAUCGGCCACACUGGAACUGAGACACGGUCCAGACUCCUACGGGAGGCAGCAGUAGGGAAUAUUCCGCAAUGGGCGAAAGCCUGACGGAGCAACGCCGCGUGAGUGAUGAAGGUCUUCGGAUCGUAAAACUCCGUUAUUAGGGAAGAAAAUAUGUGUAAGAAACUGUGCACAUCUUGACGGUACCUAAUGAGAAAGCCACGGCUAACUACGUG